rnacentral:rRNA from 1 species
AACGAACGCUGGCGGCAGGCCUAACACAUGCAAGUCGAGCGGACCCUUCGGGGUUAGCGGCGGACGGGUGAGUAACGCGUGGGAAUAUGCCCUUCUCUACGGAAUAGUCCUGGGAAACUGGGGGUAAUACCGUAUACGCCCUUUGGGGGAAAGAUUUAUCGGGGAAGGAUUAGCCCGCGUUGGAUUAGGUAGUUGGUGGGGUAAUGGCCUACCAAGCCGACGAUCCAUAGCUGGUUUGAGGGGAUGAUCAGCCACACUGGGACUGAGACACGGCCCAGACUCCUACGGGAGGCAGCAGUGGGGAAUCUUAGACAAUGGGGGCAACCCUGAUCUAGCCGUGCCGCGUGAGUGAUGAAGGCCUUAGGGUUGUAAAGCUCUUUCAGCUGGGAAGAUAAUGACGGUACCAGCAGAAGAAGCCCCGGCUAACUCCGUG